CUCUACUUGGUCGGGUUGUAUCAGAUCUAUAGAUAUACACAAACAUAGAAUAGCGGCAAUAGACCGAAAAAUCGGCGAAAUACGCAAGGAAGGUAAACUAUCCAAAA